AUGCCGAUCGAGGCGGCAGACAACGUACCGGCCGAGCUUCCCGGCCACGGCCGGACGGUGUGCGUCACCGGCGCCGGCGGUUUCAUCGCCUCGUGGCUCGUCAAGCGCCUCCUCCAGAAGGGUUACACCGUGCGAGGCACCGUUCGCAACCCAGUUGAUCCGAAGAAUGAUCACCUCAGAGCCUUCGAUGGCGCCGCCGACCGCCUCAUCCUCCUCCGCGCCGACCUUAUGGAGCCCGAAACCCUCGUCGAGGCGUUCACGGGCUGCGAGGGCAUCUUCCACGCCGCUUCCCCCGUCACCGACGACCCUGAGAAGAUGAUCGAGCCGGCGAUCCGAGGGACCAAGUACGUGAUCACGGCAGCCGCGGACAUGGGCAUCAAGCGUGUGGUGUUCACGUCCACCAUCGGCACGGUGUACAUGAACCCCCACAGGGACGCCAGCAAGCCCGUCGACGACACCUGCUGGAGCGACCUUGAAUACUGCAAAAAGACAGCGAACUGGUACUGCUACGCGAAGACGGUGGCCGAGCAGGACGCGCUGGAGACGGCCCGGCAGCGCGGCAUCGAGCUGAUCGUGGUGAACCCGGUGCUGGUGCUGGGCCCGCUGCUGCAACCUACGGUGAACGCGAGCACGGAGCACGUGAUGAAGUACCUGACGGGGUCGGCCAAGACGUACGUGAACGCGGCGCAGGCGUACGUGCACGUCAAGGACGUGGCCGAGGCGCACGUCCGCGUCUACGAGGCGCCCGGCGCGCACGGCCGCUACAUCUGCGCCGAGGGCACCACGCUCCACCGCGGCGACCUCUGCCGCGUCCUCGGCAAGCUAUUCCCUGAGUACCCCGUACCCACCAAGUGCAAGGACGAGGUGAACCCACCGGUGAAAGGGUACAAAUUCACCAACCAGAGGCUCAAGGAUCUGGGCAUGGAGUUCGUGCCGGUGCUGCAGAGUAUAUACGAGACGGUGAAGAGCCUCCAGGAGAAAGGGAUGCUGCCGGUGCUACCGCCAGGCGACGACAUCCCAGACAACCUGCAUGAGCAGCUCAUGAUGAAGCCCGCCCAGUUGCUACGAAAACACGUUCUAAUAGGAUUGGGAGUGUAG
rnacentral:rRNA from 1 species